rnacentral:tRNA from 1 species
UGGGGAAUGAUGUAACGGUAGCAUACCCGGCUCUGAACCGGUUCGUCUAGGUUCGAAUCCUAGUUCCCCAG